GUCGAGAAAUGCCUGUGGCAACAACAAUAUCCUGUCACCACCACUGCUGCCACAAGCUAAACCAUCGUAUCUCUGCCUCUCUGGUCGCUAUCAAGAGAACCAUGGUCACCGCCGCCACCAGUAGCAGCAGUAAUGCAGGUUCCUACACCACGAUCAAAGAGACAGUCACUUUCGAAAGAGAAAUAAAAAAGAGCGAGCAAAUUUAUCGCCAUCGCUGGCCCUAUCUCCGACGAACAAUCCGCUUUCUCCUUCCUUUCUCAGGUUAGGGAUCCGCGCGCCACUCAUAAUUGCUGGGCUUAUAAGGUUGCAGAUCAAUUUCGGUCUAAUGAUGAUGGGGAACCGUCAGGCACAGCUGGAAAACCAAUUCAAUCUGCUAUUGAUUCUUCUGGGAUUGAUAGAGUGAUGGUCGUGGUGAUCAGGUAUUUUGGAGGUAUCAAAUUAGGCACCGGAGGAUUGGUUAGGGCUUACGGAGGAGUUGCAUCAGAAUGCUUGAGAAAUGCUACAACUUGUCUCAUAAAAUCUAAGGUCCCAAUGGGCGUGGAAGUUCCCUUCGAUCUUAUAGGAGUUUUGCAUCAUCAGUUACAAUCCUUUCAAGUUGAGAACAUCAGGCAGGAUUACGAGACUGGUAAAGACGGCAUAGUCAUGAUUUCUUUCAUCGUUGACUUUGACCAGGUUGAGAAAUUGGAGGAUGCUAUCAAAGCUAAUUGUUGUCGAGAACUUGUAUUUUAUAAGAGGUGAGACAGACUUAUGUUAUCCGCGCAUUGUAGAAAUUUGUCGAAUGUAUGAUCCCACCAUGAAUUGGACUGUAUCAGGAGUGCUUGUGUAUUCCUUUUACCCUGCUUUGAAACCAGUCAUGUGCAAUGUAUAGGACCUGUUUAGAUGACAGUUUUUUGGUACAAUACAUUGCACAUGACUGGUUUCAAAGCA
rnacentral:misc_RNA from 1 species